UGCCUCCGCCCGCUGCUUCUCCACGCGGGCCCGGGCUGCCCGCUCCGCCUCCAGCUCCUCUUCCAGCUCCUCGGCCCGCGCCUGAGGUGGCCAGGUCGCCCAGGGCCUGCUGGUGGGCCUCCUGCAACGCCUUCUUCUCCUUGGUCAGCCGGGCCACCGACUCGUCCAGCACAGCCAUCUCUUCCGUCAGGUUCUUCACCUGUGCCAGGGCCAAAGUUACAUGGGGACAGUCCUCCCCGCACUCUGGUCUGAGCAGAUGCCCUUCCAGCGAUGGAACUCAGGCAGGCCACUGCACUCCGAGCUCCUAUUGCUUCACGCCUAAGGGCUGACACGCUUCUCCUUGAGCCGCACUGAGGUUUAAGGAGCGAAUGCUCUCUGAGCACUCAGCACGGCACCUGGCCCAGAUGAGAGCGAAAGCUGUCUGCUAUUUGCAGCAUCAACAGCCUUGGCCAGCGUCAGCUCCAGGUCAUCGAUGUCCUUCUUGAGCUCCGUGCACUCAUCUUCUAGCUUGCGCCGGCGGGCGGCCAGGUCGGCAUUCACCUCCUCCUCGUCCUCCAGCCGUUCGUUCAGCUCCUUCACCUU